UUUUUUAUGACUUUGGAUCUUUAAUUUGUUAUCAGAAAUAUUUCUACUUCAUUAUAUUUCAAUCCCCCAGAUAUAUAGCAAUAAUGCAAAACACCUCCAUUUCUGUCAUGAAACAAAGGAAAAAGCUGUUUAAUCCAAUAUAUGUCACUUUAAGUCUAAUUAGGAAAUUCCAAACAAAUUCAGCUCUCAAGAAGAAUAAAUGAUAAAUAAAUAAAUGUGAUGACCACAUUUUCUUUCUACUAUUGUAAACUAAUUUCAUUUUUUUUAUUUUUCUAUUGGCCUACUUUCUAUUAUAACAGGGCCCCAGACCUUGGUAGGCCCAAGACCUUAGCACAACUCACUUCAUGAUGAAAGUAUCAUUCAGGAUGUCGUCUCUUGUUGGUACCCCACAACAGUAUUAUGUUCCCUUUGGACACCCAUAUUAAUUGUUUCAGGCAUAGGUCACACACAAUAGAAGGCACUCUCUUAAAUGACCAAAGCUGCAUUUCAAUCUAGAUUGGAACCCAGACUUGGUUUGUUAGUGAUAUAUAUUAAUACCCUGAGGGGACACAAGCUCUCAGCAGGCAGAAAACUUAAGCCACAUAUGGACUCGUUAAGUGUGACUAGGGACUUAAAUUUUGAGAAUUUUGUUUUAACUGCUGGGUGAAUACUUGUGAAAGAAAACGUUCAAGGUCCAGUCAGAGAAACUCCCAAGGACACAUAUGGAAUUUAUUAUGGAGGUCGAAUAACCAAUGGCUCAAUUAGCUGUUUGCAGGUGGGGUAGGGCCCAGGAGUGUAUAUGAAGAAAAUGAAAGGACCCCCAAGCUUGAGAACAUGAAUGGCAACAAUGUCAUUUACUACACGAUGGAGACCGGUAUGAGGACAAUUUACGUCUUCCUUUUAGGGAAGAAAGACAAGAGAUAUGAAAUCGGCAAAAACAUGUGGGAAGUUGAAUCAACUAGAAUAACGCCUGAGGGCGCCAAUAUGAAGCCUACCCCCUCACAUCUGAAGUAAAACUGAUGAGCUCAGUCCUGCCAUCUUUGACACUGCUACAGCUACUAUUAGAUAAGAGGAAACUGCCAUCUCUUUUACCCCCCCAGUGACCCGAGGGGUGCCGAUGACUUUCCAUCCUUGUUGGGUGUCUUAGUUGGGGUCCCCAUUGCUGUGAAGAGACACCAUGACCAAAGCAACUCUUAUAAUGAAGACAUUUAAUUGGCUCUGGCUUAUAGUUCAGAGGUUUAGUCCAUUAUCAAGCAUGGCAGUGCAGGCAGACAUGGUGCUAGAGGAUCUGAGAGAGUUCUACGUCUUGAUCCACAGGCAGCAGCAGGAGACUGUCCCACUGGGUGUGGCAUAAGCAUAUAUAAGAACUCAAGGCCUGCCUCCACCAUGACACUCUUCCUCCAAAGCCACAUCUAUUCCAACAAGGCCACACCCACUUCAAGGCCACACCCACACCAAUAAGGCCACACCCACUCCAACAAGGCCAUACCUCCUAAUGGUGCCUCUCCUCAUGGGCCCAGGGCAGCCAAUUACAUUCAAACCACUACACUGGGGCUUUCUUUCUCACACUUUCCGUUCUUGCACACCUUGCCAACAAGGAAAGAUUUCUUCUCAUAUCAAUGGGCUGAGUGGACAGUUUCCUCCACCACAAAUUCCAAGUACCCUCUGCGGAUCCAUUUUGAUUUCAUAGGGAGUCAUCCUGGAUGAUGAUGAUGAUGAUGAUGGAGGAAGGAAAUUGUCGUUAACAUCUGUCAUCCAAACACCGGCAACAGGAACAGAGCACCAAUACAGCUGCUGUGACCCGAUAGAAUUAUUGUUAGCACUGGAAAGGGUUACAAACACCAUCAAGUCCUAGGACUGCAAUUGCUCCAUGUUUUAAGGAAAAUGAUCCUGUGUUGGAAGUGUAGUGGAGGAUUUUCAUAACACGUGUGAGAUCCUGGAUUCAAUCUCCAAGAUUACAGGCAGACACAAACAAACAAACAAACUGAAUUAAGAAGAAACUGUUCUUGGCAGAGGGUUGGGGGAAGUAGUGUCUAGGUUACUCUAGGAAAGCUUGCAAAGACUUCUGGGAAAUGAUAAACAAAUGUUAUUUUCUUUUUCCCAGUGGCCUUAUCAUGCAGUGAUCAAAUCAGGUGAUGGCAAUAUAUUAAAGCUGUUGACGUGAGACCAACUGAGGGCGAUUACAGCUCAGUAGACAUUUAGGAAUUAGUACAGAUAGCAAAGUGUGCCAAAAAGAGUGAUUAGUCUAGCUGCAGUCUUGACCUAAAUAGCAACUCAGGCGUAGAGCUGGGAUUAAAACUCUGCCACCCACGUUUUCAGUGGAAGGCUAUCUCUCCCUUGACUGUGUUCCAUGCCUCUUUAUCAGCCUUGUGGGAUGAGAAUUCUCUGUAAAAUGAAAAUUAGUUCUAAGUAACAUCUUUCUAAGCAGCCAACUAGAAAGGGCAGGGAGAGGGCUGGGAGUCUUUCCCCUCUGGCAAUUCUGACAAAGUUUGAAGAUACUUCAAUAGCUACCCCCAACAGCUGCCAUGCUGAGCCAGUGUGUGAAAUGCUGUGUCUUGACUUACAGAUAUGCCCUCCCCCAUUCCAACCUUCUGGUGAGGAAGGACGAGCUGGUCCUACAAAGAAUAUGGGAGAAUCAGCCAGUUUUUAAAUAUAUCCAAGGAAAAGCAGUGACUUAGACUUACAACAAUAAGACACAUCCAUGUGAAAAAAUUUAAAGGAAAAGGAUGUAUUGCGGUCAAGGCCUUUCCUUUGGUUUUGGCUCAAGUCCCAAAAAGAAUUAUCCUAAGUUUACUUUCUGUAUCUAGUCUCUUGAAACAUAUCUGUGAUGCGAAGUUGUUUGGAAGGUUUCUGGUAGGAGCAAAGAAGCCCAAAUGAAACCUCAACAAUGUAUCAAGGACUGUAACAGAAAGAAGCAUUUGAUAAGCCAAAGCUACAAAACAUAAAAGUAGCAAUUUUAGCAGGUCUACUGUUCCGUAAUUUGAGAAGUUAAUAAAAGAACGAAGGGGGAAAACAAGCAUAGUAUUGGCAUCAUGUUCUGCUCCAAAAGAACUCUUCUGGGGCCUUCCUUUUGUAUCCAGUGUGCUUGUCUCAGGAGUCAAAGAAGUUGCUAGGUGGUAAGAAACCACCUAUGAAAACCAUCAAUUUCCCUAAAAGAGAAAAUGAGGUAAGCGUCUCAGCCUAAAAAUAGGAAAAGACAAUUAGCCAGUGGCAAAGGAAGUGAAGUUAUAAAUCACAGCAAAAUUAAGAAACUGGGAAACACCAGAGACACGUGCCUGUGGAGCAAUGGAAUGGUCCUUAAAACCAUAGCCCCA
ensembl:lncRNA